GACGAACGCUGGCGGCGUGCUUAACACAUGCAAGUCGAACGGAAAGGCCCUGCUUUUGUGGGGUGCUCGAGUGGCGAACGGGUGAGUAACACGUGAGUAACCUGCCCUUGACUUUGGGAUAACUUCAGGAAACUGGGGCUAUUACCGGAUAGGAGCUCCUGCUGCAUGGUGGGGGUUGGAAAGUUUCGGCGGUUGGGGAUGGACUCGCGGCUUAUCAGCUUGUUGGUGGGGUAGUGGCUUACCAAGGCUUUGACGGGUAGCCGGCCUAAGAGGGUGACCGGCCACAUUGGGACUGAGAUACGGCCCAGACUCCUACGGGAGGCAGCAGUGGGGAAUAUUGCACAAUGGGCGGAAGCCUGAUGCAGCAACGCCGCGUGCGGGAUGACGGCCUUCGGGUUGUAAACCGCUUUCGCCUGUGACGAAGCGUGAGUGACGGUAAUGGGUAAAGAAGCACCGGCUAACUACGUG
rnacentral:rRNA from 1 species